rnacentral:rRNA from 1 species
UACGUAGGGUGCAAGCGUUGUCCGGAAUUAUUGGGCGUAAAGAGCUCGUAGGCGGUUUGUCGCGUCUGCUGUGAAAAUCCAGGGCUUAACCCUGGACCUGCAGUGGGUACGGGCAGACUAGAGUGCGGUAGGGGAGAUCGGAAUUCCUGGUGUAGCGGUGAAAUGCGCAGAUAUCAGGAGGAACACCGGUGGCGAAGGCGGAUCUCUGGGCCGUAACUGAAGCUGGAGGAGCGAAAGCAUGGGGAGCGAACAGG